rnacentral:rRNA from 1 species
UACGUAGGGUGCAAGCGUUUAAUCGGAAUACUGGGCGUAAAGCGUGCGCAGGCGGUUGUGCAAGACAGAUGUGAAAUCCCCGGGCUUAACCUGGGAAUUGCAUUUGUGACUGCACGGCUAGAGUGUGUCAGAGGGGGGUAGAAUUCCACGUGUAGCAGUGAAAUGCGUAGAUAUGUGGAGGAAUACCGAUGGCGAAGGCAGCCCCCUGGGAUAACACUGACGCUCAUGCACGAAAGCGUGGGGAGCAAACAGG